AUGCUGAAAGAGAGAAACAGAGGGAUGGGCCUAUGGAAUGAGAAUAGAAUUGAGGCAGAGGGGCUUUGUACUUCACGUGGCCGUCGAUAACAGUGAGCAAGGCAGAGCGAAGGGAUCCAACCUUCGACCUAGAAUUAAAAAAAGUUCCUGUGAUUCUUGCUCAAAAGAGGUGCACAAAUCCGAAAAUCAUGAGAGAGACUAAAUCUACGAGGUGGCCUGAAAAAUGGCUUAAUGAAGACAACAGAAUCUUCGGCGAGUUGGUGAUGGCGGAAGGCGGCGAGUGAGGGGCAGGGGCUCCAAGGACCAACGUUUCGGACGCCUUUGAAACUCGUGUUGAGGCACGUGUUACCGGCCGAUGAGCGAAAGUGGCUAGACCAGAACUGGGCAACCGCACGCAAGGGGGAGAGAGAAAAGGGGAAAAUGGUCUACUACCUUCAAUACCACUCUUCUUCUACGAUGCCAAGUUUGGAUUCUAGAUCACUGCCAAGAUAAGAUGUUUGAUAAAGAACGACAUGAAGACCAUGCCGAUUGCCGAAUCUCUCCCAUUCUCUCAAUCUGUCUUUUCGGGUACCAAUACUCUUUAAUUUAUAAUAUAAGUCCUUUAAAUUAUUGUGUUUGGUGAUUUUCUCAUUGGGUUGUCAGUUAUUUCUUAUUUCUUUCUUGAAAAUAUUUUAAUUUGUUGUUUAUUUGUGUUAUUAGUCGUUGUUUUCUUGAUUUUUCUAUAACUGUUAAGGUUUCAGAAUUUUUGUUUUUUAUUCUUUCUUAUAGUUGUGAUCUGUGUAAGUUCUUUCAGAUUCUAGGAAAUUCUUUACCAUAAGUCAUUCCUGUAUGUAAUAAUUAAAGAUUCAGAUACACAUUCACUACUGUUGUUAUACAUUAAACAGUGAUUUUUUUGUGAUCA